CAGAUCCCGUGAUCAUCGAAACUUCGAACGCAUCUUGCGCUCCCGGGAUAUGCCUGGGAGCAUGCUUGUCGGGGAGGA
rnacentral:rRNA from 1 species